UACAGAGGUCCCGAGCGUUGUUCGGAUUCACUGGGCGUAAAGGGUGCGUAGGUGGCGUGGUAAGUUUGAUGUGAAAGCUCAGGGCUUAACCCUGAAAUGGCAUUGAAUACUACUGUGCUGGAGGUUUGGAGGGGGGACUGGAAUUCUUGGUGUAGCAGUGAAAUGCGUAGAUAUCAAGAGGAACACCAGUGGCGAAGGCGAGUCCCUGGGCCGAUACUGACGCUGAGGAGCGAAAGCGUGGGGAGCGAACAGG
rnacentral:rRNA from 1 species